rnacentral:rRNA from 1 species
AGAUUGAACGCUGGCGGCAUGCUUUACACAUGCAAGUCGAACGGUAACAGGCCGCAAGGUGCUGACGAGUGGCGAACGGGUGAGUAAUAUAUCGGAACGUGCCCAGUAGCGGGGGAUAACUACGCGAAAGCGUGGCUAAUACCGCAUACGCCCUACGGGGGAAAGGGGGGGAUCGCAAGACCUCUCACUAUUGGAGCGGCCGAUAUCAGAUUAGCUAGUUGGUGAGGUAAAGGCUCACCAAGGCGACGAUCUGUAGCUGGUUUGAGAGGACGACCAGCCACACUGGGACUGAGACACGGCCCAGACUCCUACGGGAGCAGCAGGUGGGGAAUUUUGGACAAGUGGGGGAAACCUGAUCCAGCCAUCCCGCGUGUGCGAUGGAAGGUCCUUACGGGUUGUAAAGCGUACGUUUUGGACGAAGGGAAGAAACGGACGUACGGACCCGUAAGUAACGGGACGUACGACGUACGACGGUACCUGCAAGAAUAAGCACCGGACUAACUACGUGCCAGCAGCCGACGUAA